rnacentral:rRNA from 1 species
AGAGUUUGAUCAUGGCUCAGGAUGAACGCUAGCGGCAGGCUUAAUACAUGCAAGUCGUGGGGCAGCACAGGUAGCAAUACUGGGUGGCGACCGGCAAACGGGUGCGGAACACGUACGCAACCUUCCUUUAAGUGGGGAAUAGCCCAGGGAAACUUGGAUUAAUACCCCGUAACACUAUGAAGUGGCAUCAUUUUAUAGUUAAAGCUACGGCGCUUAAAGAUGGGCGUGCGGCUGAUUAGGUAGUUGGCGGAGUAACAGCCCACCAAGCCAACGAUCAGUAACUGGUGUGAGAGCACGACCAGUCACACGGGCACUGAGACACGGGCCCGACUCCUACGGGAGGCAGCAGUAAGGAAUAUUGGUCAAUGGACGCAAGUCUGAACCAGCCAUGCCGCGUGGAGGAUGAAGGCCCUCUGGGUUGUAAACUUCUUUUAUUUGGGAAGAAACCUAUCCUUUCUAGGGUAGUUGACGGUACCAGAUGAAUAAGCACCGGCUAACUCCGUGCCAGCAGCCGCGGUAAUACGGAGGGUGCAAGCGUUAUCCGGAUUCACUGGGUUUAAAGGGUGCGUAGGUGGGCAGGUAAGUCAGUGGUGAAAUCUCUGAGCUUAACUCAGAAACUGCCGUUGAUACUAUCUGUCUUGAAUAUCGUGGAGGUGAGCGGAAUAUGUCAUGUAGCGGUGAAAUGCUUAGAUAUGACAUAGAACACCAAUUGCGAAGGCAGCUCGCUACACGGUUAUUGACACUGAGGCACGAAAGCGUGGGGAUCAAACAGGAUUAGAUACCCUAGUAGUCC